rnacentral:rRNA from 1 species
UACGGAGACUACGAGCGUUACUCGGAUUCACUGGGCGUAAAGGGUGCGCAGGCGGCCAAAUGUGUUGGGUGUGAAAUCCUGGGGCUUAACUCCAGGGCUGCGCUCAAAACUGUUUGGCUAGAGUCUCGGAGAGGUAAGCGGAAUUCCUAGUGUAGCAGUGAAAUGCGUAGAUAUUAGGAGGAACACCAAAGGCGAAGGCAGCUUACUGGACGAGUACUGACGCUCAUGCACGAAAGCGUGGGGAGCAAAAAGG